rnacentral:rRNA from 1 species
AUUGAACGCUGGCGGCAGGCCUAACACAUGCAAGUCGAACGGUAACAGGCCGCAAGGUGCUGACGAGUGGCGAACGGGUGAGUAAUGCAUCGGAACGUGCCCAGUAGUGGGGGAUAGCCCGGCGAAAGCCGGAUUAAUACCGCAUACGACCUGAGGGUGAAAGGGGGGGAUCGCAAGACCUCUCGCUAUUGGAGCGGCCGAUGUCAGAUUAGCUAGUUGGUGGGGUAAAGGCCUACCAAGGCAACGAUCUGUAGUUGGUCUGAGAGGACGACCAGCCUCACUGGGACUGAGACACGGCCCAGACUCCUACGGGAGGCAGCAGUGAGGAAUUUUGGACAAUGGGCGCAAGCCUGAUCCAGCAAUGCCGCGUGCAGGAAGAAGGCCUUCGGGUUGUAAACUGCUUUUGUACGGAACGAAACGGUCCUGGUUAAUACCUGGGGCUAAUGACGGUACCGUAAGAAUAAGCACCGGCUAACUACGUGCCAGCCGCCGCCGUAAAAC